rnacentral:rRNA from 1 species
GAUGAACGCUGGCGGCGUGCCUAACACAUGCAAGUCGAACGGAGCUGCUUUGAUGAGAUCUUCGGAUGGAUUUAAAACAGCUUAGUGGCGGACGGGUGAGUAACGCGUGGGUAACCUGCCUCACACUGGGGGAUAACAGUUAGAAAUAGCUGCUAAUACCGCAUAAGCGCACGGUUCCGCAUGGAACAGUGUGAAAAACUCCGGUGGUGUGAGAUGGACCCGCGUCUGAUUAGCCAGUUGGCGGGGUAACGGCCCACCAAAGCGACGAUCAGUAGCCGGCCUGAGAGGGUGAACGGCCACAUUGGGACUGAGACACGGCCCAAACUCCUACGGGAGGCAGCAGUGGGGAAUAUUGCACAAUGGGGGAAACCCUGAUGCAGCGACGCCGCGUGAGUGAAGAAGUAUUUCGGUAUGUAAAGCUCUAUCAGCAGGGAAGAAAGUGACGGU